AAUGAACGCUGGCGGCAGGCCUAACACAUGCAAGUCGAGCGGGUGAAGGGAGCUUGCUCCUGGAUUCAGCGGCGGACGGGUGAGUAAUGCCUAGGAAUCUGCCUGGUAGUGGGGGAUAACGUCCGGAAACGGGCGCUAAUACCGCAUACGUCCUGAGGGAGAAAGUGGGGGAUCUUCGGACCUCACGCGAGCAGAGGAGGAUAGGUCGGAUUAGCUAGGUGGUGGGGUAAAGGCCUACCAAGGCGACGAUCCGUAACUGGUCUGAGAGGAUGAUCAGUCACACUGGAACUGAGACACGGUCCAGACUCCUGCGGGAGGCAGCCGUGGGGACUCUUGGGCGCUGGGCGCGUGCCUGCUCCUGCCCUGCCGCGGGAGUGACGAAGGUCUUCGGAUUGUAAAGCACUUUAAGUUGGGAGGCCGGGCAGUCCGUUACUCCCUUGCUGUUUUGCCGUUCCCCCCCGCCUCCGCUCCGGCUCCCUCCGUG
rnacentral:rRNA from 1 species